rnacentral:rRNA from 1 species
GCAAGUCGAGCGCACUCUUCGGGACCGAGCGGCGGACGGGUUAGUAACGCGUGGGAACAUACCCUUUUCUACGGAAUAGCCUCGGGAAACUGAGAGUAAUACCGUAUACGCCCUUUGGGGGAAAGAUUUAUCGGUGAAGGAUUGGCCCGCGUUAGAUUAGAUAGUUGGUGGGGUAAUGGCCUACCAAGUCUACGAUCUAUAGCUGGUUUGAGAGGAUGAUC